AUAAAAUGUGAAGUGUUUUCAGAAAAACAGUGUCACCAUUGCACACCAAAAAGUUCAUUCAGUAAAAAUUUAACAAUUUCAACCGUUUAUAACGAAAGAAUAAAAUAAGUUGGGAAGCUCGGCAAGAAUCACAGGUUUGACCAUGUUUUUUUCCUGUGUUAUACUAUUUCUGCUAAUUUUGGCUUCCUUUGACAAUUUGUCUUGUGCUUAUUUAAUACGCAUUUGAAAUAAGUAGUUCAUGAUUAUAGUGUGAAUUCCAGCUUAUGUAAACUAAUUUGUUAUGAACGUUUGUUACUUCCAAUACAAAUAACAAAAUCAUCAAAGAAAAACAAAUCAUUAUAGAAAAUGAUGGAUGUAUGUAGGGUACAGCAUAAGAAUUGAGAAUUGCACUUUUGAAAUGCAGAAAUUGAGAAAUUUCCUUAUCGAAAAUAUCAGGAAAAAGUGGUAGCAGACAUAUUAGGUUUGAAUUGACACAAGGAAGUGAUAGAAAACAUUCACUGGAGGCAUCACCCAGUCAUGGCCAAGAACCUAGUUCCAUUUUUAAGGUAUGACAGUUAUGGUAUGAAUGCCACAUAAUUUUGAUCCCGAUCAGACGGCGUGGACAGCGCCUGAGUUGGUACCCCUCUCUCCAAUCUUCCUCUCUACAAUCACCGAGAGGACUUUCAGCGACGAUAGAUUUAAAAUGCUUCUUGAUGCGUAUAUACGCUGAUUAUUUUCUCGGCUGUCAGGAUCGAACUCAAAACCCCAGCUCUCCACCAGCGGUGUGAGCAAAGUUAUCGAUGUCUGACGCCAAUACCGAAGAAUUAAUUGCCUUAAAAGGAGAAGUGUUGUAAUUGGUGGAGGUAGGCAAAGAAAGCCAACCCAGAAGACAAGGGAACUCUGGAUCAAACAUUGGGACAAACUACUAGCCUUUGUAGAGGACUCUUAGAUACAACUAACCCGCAUUUGCGUUACACGGAAAAGAAAAUUGCUGAAAACUCCCAUGGUUAGCCCGUUGACAAGGGGAUUCUAACCCAUGAUCCGUCCACCUCUGAGGAUAUUCUACAUCAGCAGCGUGGUUGGUGCGAGCCAGGAGCAGCAUUCGUAUCAACCAACCACCACUGGGAUAAGUCCCAGGUACACCUCAUUGGAAGGCGAACGCUCCAUCCUCUCAUUUACCGCGGGUCGAUAAUUAUUAAUAAUAUUAAAAUUAUAAAAAUAAGCAUUUUUUACUAGAUUAUGUAGAAAUGAUUGGAAAUGCUAUAAGGGAAAAGAUAAUUUCAUCGAAUCUAAUCAGAACAUUAUCGACUAAUGUAUUAAAUAUCAAAUACGAGUAUUAUAAGCACGUUUUAAGAUAAAUAUGUAUUUGAAUUUCUUCAAUACCACAAAAUUUUGAAAAAGACCCUGUAAUACCCUUGAUUUUUUUAAAUUUGUGUUGUAUUUCGGUUUCGCAACUUGUGAUUCCAGACUACUUCUGUAAUAUUGACAUACUUUUUAAAUGUGAAAUCAAAGGCGUUGUCUUCCUCUUUUUUUUUUAUUCGAUACAAUAUUUUCUAAAAAUACCUCAAUAAAUGAUGGCUGGCAUUCCUGCCUUCUCAUUCCUGAAUUUGAUCUUUAAUUUGAUUUAUCCGUUUAAAAUGUCUUGCAUUCUCUCUUGAACUUUCACAUUCUUUCACAUUUCCUUCCACGAUGUCGUAAUUUAAGGAAAUAUCUCGACUCGAAUGUGGUAAGGGGAACUUAUUCAGCAAAACUUAGUUGAGGAAUUUUGGAUCAACUAGUAAAUAGCUUUUAAAAGUUCAGAGGGACCAGACAUGGUUUCUUCAUUUUAUUCAAGACUAGUUGAAUACCUGUUCUUCGUCCAGGAUGAAAAAAAGUACAUCUAUAUUAAGAAAAGAAAGAGUUCGCGUGGGUCUGUUUGCGUUUGUGUGUAUUUCUAAUAACUCCAAAGCCGUUUGCGCUAGAGUUCUGAAGUUUGGACAGCAGGUAAAAGAAUAAAUUUUAGCCUCCGUUCCCAGAAAUUGUUCAGAAAUUUCAAUCGAACGAUUUAGUUCGAGACAGACGAAUGAAAAAUGGAAUUUUCUCACUGAUUUAGUGAAAGCCAAUGUUUUAAAUUAAACUAGAAACGAUUCAGUUCGUUCAGACGAUUAAGAUUUAUGAUGUUGGUUAGCUUAUAGCUCUAAUCAAAAAAGUUUUUUAUUGCACGUUUCAUAAUGCUUGUCUUUUAUACAUUGUGUUAUUAUCUAAAUGAUUAAAGUGAUCGUGGUAGCGUAGGCGGAAUAUAUCACUAAAUUAGAAUUUCUAUCUGAAACCAUCUAAAGCUAUCUGAAACCACUUGUUUAUUUUGAUUAUAGUAAUGCUUUCAAAAAGUGUUAAUGAAAGAAAAUAAUAAUUCAAAAUCAACGUUAGUUGAAAUUAAAAAAAGUAUGGUUUGUACUGAAAACCAAAAUCAAGAAGAAAUGGUACUAAUUCGCUGAGAAAAAGCGUAAAAAAAAAUCCAAUUGAUGCCAAUCAUACUUGAUUAAUUUUGGCAAUAGGUACUUAGCAAAAUUAAGAAAUAGGCUAUGUACUAAAAAGCAAAAUUAAGGGAGAAAAUGUAUUUAUUCGUUAUGGGGAUUCGUAAAAAAUCGCAAUAUUGUUACAUUUUAACUUUAUUUAAUUUUGGUAAUAGGCUCUUCUGGUAUUAUGGUCAUUGAGACAGUUUUAAUAGGUACCAAAUGUAUUCUUAUCAUGUAUUUUUAUAAUGUAUUUUUGUAAUGUAUUUUUAUAAUUGAUACUGUGGAAGUAAAAUUUUAUGGCCCCUCGAUAAAAGUUCAUUAGAAAAUCGGUUGAUUGUGAUAGAUUUUAAAUAUCAGAAGUUAAAUACCUCGAGCGGUAGCAUUAGGACAGAGGAUCCUGAAUACAGAUAUUCUUUAUUUUGAUAGAAUGAACAACUAAAACAUGUUUCACUUAAUGUAAUAAUGUAAAAGCACCGGGAAGGGUAACAUAUGAUAAUAAAUAAAAAAGAUAUA